rnacentral:misc_RNA from 1 species
UCGAAUAAACCUGACGGGUUGUUGCUGGCUUCUAGGAGCAUGUGCACGCCUGUCAUCUUUAUCCAUCCACCUGUGCACCUUUUGUAGUCUUUGGAGCCAAUGAGCGUGAAGCCGUCGAGGGGUUAACCUUGAUGCUCACGCAAGUUUCUCUAGGACUAUGUAUUUCAUAUACCACGUAGUAUGUAUAAGAAUGUUUUUAUUGGGCUUCUGUGCCUAUAAAACAAUAUA